GCACUUUCAGUUGCUUCUUUAAGCACUUGUAGUUUAAUAAAAAAUUCAAUGUGUCUAGGAUAAAAGUACUUGUAGCAGAAGCGCUUGUAAACAAAAAAUGCUUGCUCGAGAAGCAAUCCGAAAGGAGCCCUUUAUCACACAAACAAAUGACUCCUUUAGCAGAAAACAAGAUUGCGGAAAACAUUUCCCAUUAAUUUUGGUCUGCUUUGUUUAGGUAUGGAUGUUGUGACGACCAAAGCUGCCAUACCGACCUACAGGCCUUUGGAGAACAUACACCAAUUCAACGAUUUCGCCGAGUUUUUGGGUGACGGGAGAGCUGGGAAUGCUCGAGCUCUGUGGAACAAGCCUCUCAAAACCGUUUAUAUCAGCGGUUGAGGUGAGCUCAAGGUGGCAAAGCCUUCCCUUUCUCCUAGUCUCCCUUGAUCAUUUUACGUACAUUGCAUUUGCAUAUAAUUUAUAUAACUGUUCAUAUUGUUCAGUUCACAUAUUCAAUAUUUUUGUUAAGAGCCUUUUGAAGUUAUAAUUGUACGUAAACCUUGUUUCUGCAAAGAUUUUGUAAUGAGAACGUACUGCUGCUUAAGUUGUGCUUCAUGUGUUUCGGUGAGAGCCUUCUAACAUUAUGGAAGCCUCCCUUUCUUGUCUUAGAUAGGAGGGAAACUUACCUACUACAAUGAGGUGAUAGUGGCAGUAUUGAAGCCUAUCAGGCCUUGUCGUGUGUUUUAACAUUUUCACUGUGACGAUGCGUGAUUGGCCUAAGAUACCACCGCAUCCUACCUAGUUAGGCAACAUAGCAUAAUGAACAUUACUAAUAAGAACAAAGAAGCAUCGGUCUAUGUUAUAGUUUGAAGAUACCUUAGAUGCUAUUGUUUACACCAACUUCAUAUUGGUUAGUUGUAGAGUUAUGAUAUCCACAUAUCAUUUUUACCUCCCGCACAUUCUUCUCAAUUUUUUGUUGUCGGCUUGAGUGAAAUGAAAAAGAUUAAAUGACAUAAAUUAAUAAGGGAUAUGUAAGAAGUAAUUGGAUUGAGCAACGCCAAUGGUAUGUAUGAAAUGUAUGUACGUAUGCAUGAAAUGCAUCUACAUACAAAAACAUUACUUCCCAAUUGGGUAGUGAUGUUCGCACUUCCGUUUUCUCUUUUUGCAAAUGCUGGAAAUAUCGGACUUGGAAUUGGAUCUGUUUUUGGGCCUCAACCCGGUCCAUUGCAGCAAAUAGAAAAGGAGACUUCAUGUAAGUUGGGCUUGGCCCUUCAAGUAUAAGGAAUCAGUUCGUCAAUUGGCAAAAAAAAAAAAAAAAAAAAAAAAAAAAAAAAAAAAAAAAAAACGAAAAAACAAAAGAAGGUGAAAAAGAAACAAGUGAUGUUUAUGAAGGUAGGUGAAUUGGGAGGAGGAUUCUCUCGGUGGACCCAUCUCAAACUUCUACGAACUUCUUCCACUGAAUGGAAAGGACACCUUGGGCCCCGCAGUAGGAAGGCCCAUUGGAAAACGACGAAUAUGUAGCCCUUCUCUCUUUCGGCCCAAUAGGGCGCAAGCAAAUACGGAGGGUGGGAACCACGAGCAGCCGCACGUGAAGGGGACCUGCAGCGACUUCAGCCGCUAGCGCCAAAUUCAAUCUGACGACCGAUCAUCUACCACUGUUGUUUCCCCUCCUGCAGGUGGUCCCCACCACCUCCCUUCUGCUGCUGUACGAACAGGGUUCUCAGACUGUGCGGCGGGUAUUCCCAGGUGGUCCAUAAAACGUAGGGACGACAUGUGUGCUCGUACGGGUUUGAGGUCACUGUGCGUAGGGUAAGGACUAACUGACGACCCUCUUGAGGAGGACGUCCGAAAAGCGAAGGUCAUCGCUUGGGGAGUGUGGUAAACCGUCCCUCCCGUGUAAUCAGUGUCGUUACAUACACCAAUCAAAUCUAACGACUUCCCCGACAUCUGUCAACCAUAGCCACAUUUGCACGCUCUUUGAAUUUUGAUUUAUUAUAGGGAUUUUUUUAGAGAACUUCAACAAACAGUUUAUUUUAACGAAAAAUUAUAUUUUUACAUUAAAAAAUCAAUCUUAUUACUAUUUAUUUUACCCUUUUUUUUUGUUAUUAUUGUUAAAAUUUAAAGCUUUCAAGCAUUUUUUCAUUAAUUUUCCUAAUUUUUUAACGAAGAUUAAAAUUUAAAAUAAAUGUGGUGUUAGAUUACAUAUUUAUUAUAAUCCCUUGAUGUGUCCUUAAUUUUAAAGGAAAACUAAUGAAAAGGGCUUGAAAACUUUGAGUUUUAAUGAUAAGGACAAAAUAAAGGGUAAAGUGACUAGUACCAUGAUUGACUUUUUAGUGUAAAAAUGUGGUUUUUCGUUAAAGUGAACAGUAACGGGAGCUUUUCGUUAAAGUUCCCUAAUUUUAAAUAAUCAAUGUGCAUUUUAUCUAGUGUCUUCCAUUAAAUAUUUAAAUUUAUUAAUAAACAAAUUUUUAUUUAUUUUUUGACCAAAAAAAGUUUUUUUUUUUUAAUUUAUUAAUUUUAUUUAACAUUCUUCAAACUUGAAAGACUCAAUUAAUGUACCUAAGGUCUCGUUUGGCAGCUGGGACUGUACUGACUAUUUCUGUCGGAUAUGAUAAAUAACCACCGGACAGUACUGAUUAAAUUAGUCAGACAUUUGAUGCAGUAUCGGACUAAGUUUUCCACUGCAAUUUUAGUCAAGAACCUCUCUGCAAAUACACCAUGUUUCUUUGCAAGACCCAGUUGCAGAAGAAGCCCAGAAACAUAUUAACUAAACAAAAAUCCACAAACUACCAGAAUAAUCGAUUCCUGUUCGUCGGAAAAACAAGAACAGAGGGAAGGCCAAUGGUUGGGCGCACAAUUGGUGAAUAUAUAUAUUUUUUUCUUAUCUCCUCUUUGCUGCAGAUUCAGAUGGGGUAUUUGUAACAUAUAGAAUUCCAAUAAAUACAACCCCACGAUUGGUGAAUUAGUGCUGCUAUUUUGGGUCAAUGGUGAUUUGGCCAACGGUGAAGAACAGAGGGAGGCGGAAGAACAAAGGGAGCGGCAGAACCUGGGAAGACGAAGAAAAAUGAAAAGACGAAGUGGGAUUCAAACGAAGAAGAAAGAACUUGAGAAGACGAACCUGGGAUUCAAGAGAGCAAGAGUGAGUCUGAAGAGGAAUGAGAAAGCGACAAAUUUCAGCCUGACUAAAUUGUACCGUGGUUUUGGACGGUAUAAGCAAGCGGGUAAAGACAGGAUAAAAAAGGUGGGCCUAGGUUAUUUAAUCCGGUGGCUAUUUAAUCCAAACAGACACCAAACAUCGUAUUUCGUAUUAUUAGUACUAUCCGGUAUCUUAUAUGGUGUGCCAAAUAGGGCAUAAAUGUUAGUACCAAAAUGUAUUAUAUUGAACUAAUGUAUUUAAAUGUUAAUACCGAAAUGUAUGUAUUGAAUUAUAUGCACCGAAAUGUAUUAUAUUAAAUUAAUGUACCUAAAUGUGGGUACUGAAAUGUAUGCACCGAAAUGUAUUCAUACUGGUUGGUUGUAGAGCUGUAAUAUCUACAUAUCCUUUUUACCUCCCACACAUUCCCCUCGAUUUUCCGCUGUCGAAUUGAGUGAAAUGAAAAAGAUUAAAUAACAUAAAUUAAUAAGGAGUGCGUAAGAAGUAACUGGAUAGCGCAAUGCCAAUUGUAUGUAUGAAAUGUAUGUACGUAUCCACGGAAUGCAUCUACAUACAAAAACAUUACUUCCCAAUUGGGUAGUGAUGUUCGCACUUCUGUUUCAGCAAAUAGAAAAGGAGGCUUCAUGUAAGUUGGGCUUGGCCCUUCAAGGAUAAGUAAUCAGUUCGUCAGUCGGCAAAAUAAUUUAGAAAAAAAAUAUAAAUAAAAAGUGAAAAAAGAAAAGAGUGAGGUUUAUGAAGGUAGAUGAAUUGGUCGGACAAGAUCCGAAGACAAACAAACGUACGGUCUGGAUUGGGUGGACCCAUCUCAAACUUCUACGAACUUCUUCUGUCUCAAUGGAAAGGACACCUUGGGCCCCGUAGUCGCAAGGCCCAAGGGAAAUCUACGAACGACGAAGAUGUAGCCCUUCUCUCUUUCGGCCCAAUAGGGCGCACGCAAAUAGGGAAGGUGGGGACCACGAACAGCCGCGCGUGAAGGAGUCCUGCAGUGACUUCAGCCGCUAGCACCAAAUUCAAUCUUACGGCCGAUUAGCUAUCACUCCUGUGUCCCUCCUGCAGGUGGUCCCCACCACUUCCCUUCUGCUGCUGCUUUUUUGUACAGCUGUACGAACAGGAUUCUCCGACGAUGGGGCGUGUAUUCCCAGGUGGUCCAUGAAACCUAGGGACGACACGUGUGCUCGUACGGGUUUGAGGUCAGUGGACAGGGUAAGGACCAACCGACGAACCUCUGACGAGGACGUCCGAAAGCGAACGUCAUUGAUUGGGGAGUUUGGUAAACUGUCCCUCCCGUGUAAUCAGAGACCGAUCAAAUCUAACGACUUCCCCCACAUCUGUCAACCAUACCCACAUUUGCACGCUCCUUGAUUUUUUAUUUAUUAUAUUAUCCUCUUCUUAAAUCUUGUUUCCAGACUAGAAAAAUUUAAGUAGGACAACUUAAACCAGUUUAACAGUUAAGCACUCUCACGAAACAAUAAAGUUCUACCGCAUUCGGAUAUCAUCCGGCUUCGUACAGGGUGCAACCUUUAAACCACCCAUCUCACUUCUUUUCAGUGUGAUCUUAUCAGCGGUCUGAUCAUACUUUUAUAUUUAAUAUUUUAUCUCUAAAGUCUAACGGUGGUGAUAAAUAACUUAUCAAAUAAAUAACUUGAAAGACCGAUGGCUAAAUUGAGGGUGCAUAAUCGUUGCAUGUAUUUUACGACUAAUGAUGAUGAAUCUCGCUAAUUAUUGCAUAAAAAAGUGUCUUCAUAAUCUUAAAUUUAUGAUCACAUGUUCCAUCUUUACUAAAUAAUUAGACAUUAGUUACCCUACACAAUAGUUACGUCAUUGUGAUAUUUUAUGAAUGUGUUCGAUGUGCUCAUCACGUUUUUUCACAAUAAAUUAGACUCGUAUUAGUGCCUAAUCACUAUCCAUUAAGUAAUUAUGCCUACAUUCAUACGGUUCAAAAAAUCCUUACCAAGAUCAACCUAAUUGGGUUGAAAUCCACUCACCACCUAUGUGGGUAAAUCAUAUAAAUAUGAGUUUAAUUCGGUCCGAAAUUAUUAACAUCUUGAAAAACAUAUACUUGCGUCGAGUCAAACACGUAAUCUCGAGUAUAGACAUAAUUGACAUAAUUGCCCCACCACAAUCUUAUCGUUUGAGUUCACACGAAUUACUCUAAUAUAUAAGCUAAACCAUGAACUCAUCAUGUGAAUUUAUUAAAUAGAUUGGCAGAUAUUGGAUAUAUUUUUCAGUGUGUCUAAAGUACAAAGUAAAACAUCACAUGUUAUUAUAUAAUUAGUUGGAUGUUUGAAAAAAAAAAACUUUCCUCUAAUUAUGUAAUGACAUGUAAUGUUAUGACUCGUAUUCCGAAUACAGUCAGAAAUCUAUCCAAGAUAUUGCCAUAAGAUUUGUUGUGAUUGAAUAUUUCAUUGAGUGACAUCUUGGUAUUUUGUCUUGACCUUAAAAACUUCCAUUUGUCAAGCGUAUCUCAAGCAUUAAAGCACAAGAAAAGAAAAGUUGCUCCUUCCCUUCCAUACUUUCCUUUUACUUUCUUGUCGACCAACUUCUUCAUUUUUAUGUCUUUUUAAAACAUAUAUUGUUGAAAAUAUUAAACAUCUCGAAUCAGAAAAUUAACAAAAUUAAAUAUGAUGAGCGUGGUUUAUUUCUCGCUACAUCGAGUUUUUAGUGAUAAAAUUUUCACACUUAAAAAUGAUAAGAUGCGAGUUGAGGAACAAUAUCAGUGUAGUUAAUAAUUAAUCGCUAACACAUCUUUUAAAAAUAUAGACAAGUGUAAUUUCAAUGUCUAUAUUCCCUCCACCAUACCAACAGCUGGAACUUCUACCAAAGUCAUUUAAGAAACUUCUUACACACCUGAAAAUUAUAAGAUUCGAGUUGAGGAACAAUAUCUAUGUAGUUAGUAAUGAAUCGCUGCCACAUUUUUUUUAAUAUAUAGACACGUAUGUUUUCAAUGUCUAUAGUCCUUCCACCAUGCCAACAGCUGCACGUUCUGUCGAAAUCAUAUAAGAAACUUCUUGCAACAAUACAAAAUCUAUGUGUUUGUGCGUAUAUAUAUGGCUCCAAGAGGUUGGUAAUUGUUUAAAUAUCUUAUUUAGAUAUUAUUUUGUUAGGGCAAGGCAAAUAGUUUAGUGGAAGAGACAAGAGGGAAAGCCCCAAGGGUUGAAGUAGGAAGCAAUCAUACCCCACAAUACCACCAAACGGUCCAAACACUCCAAACCAAAAUAAAUGAAUCAAUAUAUCCUAUGUCCAUUUCACCACUCUACGUUUUGUUUUUGUUUUUUAGCAAACGUUAUUGUCUGCACUAAGGGAGUAAAAGAGCGAGCUAAGCCUCAUAAUAGGUUAGCAAUAAUAUGGUUCAAAUUUACCUUUGGCGAGAUUCAAACCUAAGACCUCUCACUUACAAGUAAAAGAGAAUACCACUAUAAUGAAUUGAAAGAUUUUAUUAUUUAACCGAGGUUAUUAUCUUAGUACACUGACCCAAGUUGGGGCUGAAAAUUUUGAUUAUGACCGCGAACAUUCAUUUAUUGAGAUUUUAUUGUAAUGCUUCUUUACCUUUCUCACACUACCACUCAACCAUUCUAUGUUCCUCACUUCUCCCAGUACUAAAAAAUAAAUAAAUUCAGACAAACGUUAUGCAAGACAACUUGAUCAACUGGACAGUCACGCUCUCACAAUGAAACAUACUCUAAAUUAGUUGGCUACAAUUCGGCCCGACGCAUAUGUAACUUUCAAUGAAAGCAUUCACGCGUAAUGUAUGGGUGACCUGACCAGUUAAUCAGAAGAACCUUUGAACACUUUUUCAUUAGAUUAGUUUUUUUUUUUUUUAGGUAAAUUGUCAUAAGAUUAAUCGAUACAUAUGCUAUAACUUAAGUAGAACAAUAACAUCGAGUAACUUGUGCGCGAUGAUCACAAAAACUUUCGAGUAUGUGUCACACGAUGAAAUAUAUACUAAUAAAAGUGUUAGGUACUUGGUUUUAGAUUGUGCCUAGGAUGCGCCUGUGCACCUUUAUCCACAUUUAUGGCUACAGGCUACAGCUACACCUGCUGCAAAUCUAGAAGUCUAGAAUUCUUAUUACAAUCAUAAAUAAUCAAUCUUUGUCUUACUAUUUCGCCACGUGUCCAUCAAUCUGGCCGUCCAAUUGUCUUCCUCGGUCCUCACGCAACCAAAAGUCGUCUUCUCCGUCACUCUCUGCAGACAGUAGGACUCCUCCUUGCUUAAUAACACAUUCAAGUUUCAAACUUUCAACAAACCCCACCUUCUUUCUUGACUCAAAAGCCGCUUUUGGCUUUUCCAAGCCUCGCUUUUCCUAUAUGCACUGAAAAAGCCAUAAGCUUUAAGCUCUUCUCUCUGAUUUCUCACAAUUCAACUCGCAAAAAUGGCGUUUCAUCACCAGCAGCAGCAGACCCCUCACGAAAUGGCGUUCCACUCCUUCGCGGAGGACCAGCCGCCGCUCUCCGGAGCUCUGACGUGGCUCAACAACGCAGCUUUCCGCCAGCAGAACACCAGCUUCGGCGGCCUCCACGACGCGGGGAGAAACGACGACGUGGUCAUAUCGCCGUCCGGGAAGAGCAGCAGCUGCAGCGAUCGGAACCGGAGGGAGAUAAGCGGUUACGACGGCGGAGAAGAGGAGGAGGGGGAAGACGAGCUGGAGUGCGAGAGCGCGAGGUUCAAGGCCGACAUCGUGGGACAUCCUCUGUAUGAGCAGCUUGUGUCGGCGCACGUGUCGUGCUUGAGGAUCGCUACGCCGGUCGAUCAGCUGCCAAGGAUCGAUGAGAAGCUCUUGCAAUCGCAGCGCGUGGUCGACAACUACUCGGCGCUCCGAGCCAAUGGGGAUGUUGGAGUCAUGGAUGAGAAAGAACUUGAUUUGUUCAUGGUUAGCACUAAUUAAAUCUUAAUUAAUUUUUAAUUCCAUAUUAUUGAAAGUUUAAAACAUUUUUAAUUUCUGGAUAUUUUUAGAGUGUCGUGUAAUUAGUUGAGGUGGCAGUGAAGAAUCAUGUUGCUUAAUUCUCUAAUUAUUCCACUUUACAAGUGCUUUGGAGAAUCUUAAUCCUUUAAUUAGUAGUUUGAUUAGUGGCAUGUCUUGGAAUUAGAAUUUGUUCUGCAAAUCAAUCUCUCCAAUUUCUUUAUAAUUUCUACUAUAAUAUUAAGUCUAAACAUUUAGGUAUGUAUCCAGACAAUCGAAUCCUGGUGCGUAGUCUUGCUCGCCUAAUCUGCUGACGCCUAGUUCUUCCUUUGCUGUUCUCUUUCUUCUGUAAAUAAAUUUAGGCUUUUUAGCCAAAAUGUUCUUGAGAUUUGCAAAUCACAUUACUUUGGUCUCUGAGAUUGAAAAUCAAUAGAAAUGGUCCUGAGAUUAUUCACCAUCCAUUAUUUUGGUUAUUCCGUUAAAAAUUCCGUUAAGUGUUUAGGAGCUCUUGGCCCGAAGUUUAAGCAAUUUUCAAAGUUUUGUAACUCAAUCUCAGGAACCAAAAUGAUGUUUUAUGCAAACCUCGGACCAUUUUAGCUAAAAAGCCAUAAAUUUACGUACUUUAUAAAAGUCACAUUGUAAUUUUGUAACAAUCGAAUCCUGGUGCGUAGUCUUGCUCGCCUAAUCCGCUGACGCCUAGUUCUUCCUUUGCUGUUCUCUUUCUUCUAUAAAUAAAUUUAGGCUUUUUAGCUAAAAUGUUCUUGAGAUUUGCAGAACACAUAAAUUUAUGUACUUUAUAAAAGUCACAUUGUAAUUUUGUAACAAAAUGCUUUGGUUACGAUGUUGGUUGAGGGUCUAGCAUAACGAGAUGUUCAUAAUUUUGUUAAACUUUCGGUUUUCGUCAUCUGAUCUUUGCUCGUUGUGAUUUUGUAGACGAAUUAUGUUCUUUUGCUUUGCUCCUUCAAAGAACAACUGCAGCAGCAUGUCCGAGUUCACGCAAUGGAAGCAGUGAUGGCUUGUUGGGAGCUUGAUCAGUCUCUGCAAAGCUUAACAGGUAAUUUUUGUUUCUUUAGUUUCGAUCGUCCCAUAAAUCUUGAUCCUUUCCUCCCCAUUUCGCUGCCUUUAUCCGAAAAGUAGGAGACAGGGAAAAAGGACAAGAACAUGAAUGUUACUUCCCAUGUGCUAAACUGUUUUUGGUGUGUCCUAAAUGUGAGCAUCGUUUAUAUAAGGCUGCCUAAUAGUUGUUCUUUUAUUGCCCUUCCCCCGAAAAAACUAUGUUUAACUCUACGUGUUUAGAUAUCUGCGAAAAGAGGGAUUUUGCAAUAGCGAAACCAUCAAAACCAUCGACAUUGUUUCCAUUGUUAUCGUGAAUCCUGAGGUUGAGUUUGAGGUUGAUGUCAGUGUCGCGCUGUUAAAGACUUCAUCGGUGUGAAGAGGAAAGACGAGGGCAGAAGUUGCACUGACUUAAGUUUUUUUUUUUUCGUUGAGUCUUUUAGCUUUGAUUAGUGUCAUCACUUUGGAUUGCCUGUCUCUAUAAAUUCGGAUAUAGGAUAAGACAUCUUGUGUAGUGUCGUCAGUUGUUAUUGCUCGUUUUUGGUUGCUGAUCGUGAUCAACAUUUGUUUAUGGAUGGUUUACAGUUAAAUAUUUUAAGCUGCUUUCACAGGUGUAUCCACGGGUGAAGGAACGGGUGCUACCAUGUCCGAUGAUGAUGACCAGUUAGAUAGCGACAUCAACUCCUAUGAUGGAAGUCUGGACGGGCCAGACACCAUGGGAUUUGGCCCUCUUGUUCCGACUGAAAGUGAGAGGUCCUUAAUGGAGCGCGUAAGGCAGGAACUGAAGCAUGAACUGGAACAGGUACAAACUAUAGACUUACAGCGUAUAUAUACAUUUUCGGUGUGGACAAUUAGUGUAGCUGAUAACCUCUGCUUAUUAGGGUUACAAGGAAAAGAUCGUCGACAUUAGAGAGGAAAUUCUGCGCAAGAGAAGAGCGGGGAAACUGCCAGGUGACACAACUUCUGUCUUAAAAUCUUGGUGGCAAUCGCAUUCCAAGUGGCCUUACCCGACAGUGAGUUUGAACUUUGUUAUAAUCCCCUUGAAGCUUUCAGUUUAGCAGAUUCUUUUGUAAUAGCUACUAAUUAAGACGCUCUUUCGCUUCGAUAGGAGGAAGACAAGGCCAGAUUGGUGCAGGAAACAGGCUUGCAGUUGAAACAGAUCAAUAACUGGUUUAUUAAUCAAAGAAAAAGGAAUUGGCACAGCAACAUUUCAUCGACUUCCGUUCUCAAGAGCAAACGCAAGAGGUAGGAUUACGAUUAACAUAAUAUGGUUGUUUUUUCGAGUUAAUUUGUUUCGUAAACUUCAUAUAAACUUGUCUCAAUUUGUAAUUUGGAAAAAAAAGUAAUGCAGGUGACAUGAACAACCAACGAUUGAAGUAAAUGUCAUGAUUUUAGUCGAAAAUCUAGCAACAGAGAGCAAGGAAUUUAAUAUUUCUCGUACAGUAAAAGCUUCAAGCCUUCAAAUGGUAUGCUGCCCAUCUUUGGAUCGAUCGCUUCGAGUCUGAGGCACCCCGACACUAUCCAUGUCUUAUAGUACCAUAAUAUCAUCAAACUCUAAGCAUGUAACACGAAAAACUCGAACCAGGUAGCCUUAAUGUACUACGUUUCAGUGGAUCUAUGUAGAUUUUUUGUAUACCGAUCGCAUAUUAAAUAAAACGCUUGCUUUCUAUACAUAUUUUUAUGAAUGAGAAUGUCUAUGAAGAAUGUGAAUCUGUAAUUUUAAGGCAAAAAAUACAACUGAAAAAAGAAUACAGAUUGUUCUGUUUCUUACAGUGCAAGAAAACCUAUCGAAAAAGGAAACAAGGCAGCACAGACGACACUGAAUCCGACCUCUGGAUUCUACGAAAGCUGAUUCAUCGGUCCUGCGAACCUCUCUGCCUAAGGAACCAUCUUCAUUGGUAAAAGGGUCAGCGAACCUGCUGAAGCCAAGAGCAGCAUCGGCUUCUCUGCCAACACCUUCGUCGAAAUUGAGAGCGUAACUAUCAAUGUCGUACGACGUUGCUUUCUUUUGCUUCUUGUUUCGGCACAACCUAUUCUUAGCCUCUGUCAGCUUCUUCUUCCACCAUGUUGUCUCCUUGAGCCGGCCUCCGCCUUCUUGCUGCACCAAGUGUUGGCGUUCGUGACCAUUGUUGUUGCGUGAUCCAGAAGUCCUAAAACAACCACGAAAACCGCAAGAAGACGUAGGAGAAGUAGAAACAUCCAUAUCUGUUUUGUGUUCGCGAAGUGAACCGUGGUUUGACAUGAGCACGGUUGGUCUAGAGAGCGAGAGAAUCUGUGUUGAGAGACUUGGAGCAGAAGGGUGUUAAUUUAUAGGGGAGGGGAAGGGAAGGGAAAGGGAUACAAGAGAAAAAGGAAACAGGAAAUAUGUAUACACACACACACACAUAUAUAUAUAUAUGGAAAGAAAGAGUUGAUCAAUACUUAACAUUUAUAGAUUUUCGAGGAAAGAUUUGAUAGGGUGGUGUAGAUUUGUGGAAACAAAACAGGGAAUUCCUAAUGCAAAUCUUAGAGGGAUUUCAAAAUGCCAGGAACACAGAACUAAACACUACAUCUCAUUAUACAAUUGGAAUGACACUUGAAAAAAACUUUCUCCAAUAAUAUAAUGACGUGUGAUAUUCUGUCCUGUGUUCCGAACAUAUUGAAAAAUCUCUCCAAAUCUUCAACAUUCCCCGCCACAGUUGAUAUGCUCACCAACGCGGUGCCUUAAACAUUCCCCGCCACAACCCACACGCCCUAAGAGACGACGACUUGCUAUUGGUCAAAACAAAAGAAACGAAGACAGACCCCAAACAUGUGGAGUGCCACCGUGGUAUUUUGGAUCGAUAAUGUAAUAUUAUGGCAUUUUAAUUUGUUCUACAUCGUUUUAUUAUUUUGGAAUGUCAUGGUGGCGUAAACAAUUGCAGGGAAGUAUCUGUAUCCCCCAUAAGAAGUAAACAAUAUUGACAAAAUGUCAUGUUAAAAAUAACUACACAUAAUAUGCGAUUGGAGGAGUUCUUCUGUCUGGACCAUGUGGUUGACCGGCCAAAUACUCAUAAGAUGGGACGAGAAGGGGAUGAGUAGGCCCAAAAUACAAAAGGAGUGGACCUAUAUUCUCAUGUAAUUGACUUAAAAUAUCGUUACAGUGACAUUUCUGUUGUAGGUAAGUUUUUCCCAAAAUUUUGUAAUCGAAACCAAAACGUUUCUAUUAAGCUUUGGCGUGGUAGUAUUUUAGAUGUUACUGACAAUCUAAGUGAUCUUAAUGUCCAAUUCUGAAGUUCAAUUUAGAGUCUUCAUUAGACAAUUAUACUUUAUGGAUCUCAUUUUUCAGUGCAACUGCAAAUAGCCAAGUAACUUCCCAACACUUUAACAAGGUUUAAUCUUUGUUUCGAUUACGACUCGGGCCAAUCGAACAUGUUCCAUUUAACCCUAAUAUGUUACCAGUGUACAAAGUGACGAAACAACAACAAAGCCUUAUCCCGACAAAGAUUAAGCUUCGAUACAAUCCAAUGAUAAGUGCUUGUACUGAAGUUGGUUCAAAGGUAAAACCUAUAUGAGUUGAGACUUUUAUAAGACCAAUAUGUUUCUAUAAAACAAUAAAACAACUUCCCCAUCACUAUAAAGCAAAGCAAAUAUUAAGUUUAUCUUCCAAGGGCUCGAAACACAAAGGUACCGGUGCCGACGCCGGCGAGACAUCGACGAUGAAGCAACUUCUAAGAUCAUUUUCGAGCCUGAGACUAUGUUGCCGAGGGUUGCUGCGGUUGGGUCUGUCCUUUAGGAGGAACCUUUGCUGCCAUGGAGCGUAAUCCGUUCGCAAUUUCAGUGAAACUCAGCCUCUCGGACGGCUCUGAUGACCAGCAUCUCUCCAUCAGUGACUUCCAUUCAGGAUCGCAAGAGUCCGGUAUUGGUGGCCGCAAUGUGUUGCUCACAAUACCACCUGCAUUAACAUAUGAACAGCGGGAUAUCAGCAUCUCCGAAUCUGAGUAAAACCUCAAGGCGCCGAGCAUUGUUAACAAGUGCGAAGUUGUAUUGAGCAGUAGAAGAUACCUAUGAUAGCACCAUAGUGCAAAUCCGCAUAUGGUUCGUCUCCAGUGAGCAGCUCCCACAACAUGAUACCGAAAGAAAACACAUCGACCUAUUGUAUGCAACAAAAGAGGAGGGUAAAGAGCUAAGGAUUAAAAACAGGUCUAAGAAGCGAGUCGCAAUCAUUUGAGACGAUUUAGAAUAAAUUAAAUAAGAAAGCACAAACCUUCUCAGAAACAAGGCUACUGCUACCAUUCAACAGCUCCGGUGCCAUCCAUGGAAGUGUUCCCCGCACACCACCGGAGAUCAGCGUUUGACAUUUCACCUUAGAUAGGCCCAAAUCACCGACCUGGCAUCAGAAAGAAACCAGUGAACACAAUAUUCUAAACACGUAAACGAAUUACAGUAUGUUACAUAAGAAGCAUCUUAUAAAGCAUGUCAAUGAAAAAUAUGCGUUUUUGAAUAAAGAUGCUGCAUUUUAAACAAGUAUGUGGCUUAUAUAAGAAACGAAAGAUCAAAUCUACCACAAAACGAACCAGAAUAUGCGAAUGCAAGGAGCAAAAUAAAGUCACUACCUUGCAUAUUGGGCGGUGUGGAUCUCGAAGAUUGACAAGUAAGUUGUCACUUUUCAAAUCAAAGUGUACUAUCUUCUUUUCAUGCAGGUACUCCAUUCCGAAUGCCACAUCCAUUGCAAUCAUGAGGCGCUUGCGCCUGUCCAAACUCCUGAUAAAAUUAAAUCUGUGUCAGAUUUUUAUCCCAAUUGAAAAUUACGGACAACAAAAUGCCAAGCAAAUACAUUACUUCUCAUUUUUCUGCAAGGCAUUUCUCAGAGAGCCGUUAACCAUAUAUUCUGUCACUGUUGCCACAGAACCUCCGGGUCCGUCAAGCACAAUCCCAUAGAAAGCUACCACAUUGGGGUGGUGCAAGUCAGCAAGCUUGAUAGCCUCAUUCCAGAAAUCAUCUCUCUGUUUGAAUACAUAAACCACAACAUACGAAUUAAGUAAAAGAGUUAUGAAUGAAUGAAAGCUAAAAGUUUUAGAAACUAGUGUAACAAAAAGACAAACCAUGCGCUCUUGUUCUGAAGGCUUCCCGGAAAAACACCUAUCAUUGAUUCUUUUGAUUGCAACAUCAGUGCCCCUCCAUUUUCCAUGAUAAACGGUACCAAAAGUUCCAGAACCUAAUUCUCUCAUCUCUUCAAGGUCACUGUUCUUUAUAAUCUGCCAAAAGAAAAAGAAAUCGGUCAAUGGUACAUGGUAAUAUCACAACAUCACAAUACAUACAUAUUAAUGGAAACCAAAUUUUCACCUGCAACCGGCCUAGGCCAUCUGCUACUGGAAAACCAAGAUUUGGCUUAUCUGCAAAGUUGGAUUUGACAUCCUAAAAUAGGAAGCGGAAGUUAGAAGAUAAACAACAGGAGAGCCUAGAAUAUUUUUUCAGAGAGGGAGAGAACACGUACAAAUAAAAAAAAAAGGUCGUACCCAGUGCACAAGGCUCCCGCUUUACGCAGGGUCUGGGAGAGGUGAAUGUCGGCUAGCCUUACCCCCAUUUAUGGAGAGGCUGCUCCCAAGUCUCAAACCCGAGACCUACUGCUCAUGGGCGAAGGCACUUGCCAUCGCACCAAGUGCGACCUCUUAGAGACACGUACAAAUAAUAAAAAAAAUUCACACAUGUACAUAUAUGAAUUCUUAAAUACCUCACUUUCUGUUCUGUUUUGCAUCCCUGCAGCAUUGUUUUGAACCUCUUCAUUUCGAUUGGUUGCAUAAGCAGACUCAUUUUUAUCAUGCAAGUAAGAAUCUGAUGGCGUAGAUGACUGAAAAACACAAGCAGCUACUCCCUCAGCAACAGCUUGAAGUUCUUGCUUUAUUUGUUCUUCUGCUGAUCCUACGACAAAGAAGCAAAAUAAUAAGAAAAGUUCAUAUGAAAUAAUUAACUUAUCUAGAAAGAUCAUCACUUAACUAACCUUUGGACGACGGGGCAUGCUCUGAACUAAGAUCCCUGUUCAAAUUGCCUGGUGGCUGUUGGCCUCCAUCGUCCAUUCGCAUUUCUGUAUAUGGUUCUUUUCUCAAUUGUAUUUUGGUUGGCUUAGGAGGCAAUUGAGUAUCCUGGCACAAACUCCAAGGAUCUUGAUUGCUGAACAGUGAGUUUGAGGAGUCCUGGGCACCAAAACCAUUCGAGGUAAUACCUUCCCUCUCGUUAGAUACCAUCUUGGGCUGCAAUCUCAUAUUCUCAUCCUUCCAUUCAGGAGGAGGUUGAAUUCCAUCAGUGAGAUGGGUCAAAACAACAGGGGUUCCAUAAUUAGAUUCGUAAGAAUCACAAGGAUAUAUUCCAACUCUUGAUUGCAGAUAAGCUUCAGGAUUUCCCCAUAUAGAUUGUUUUCCUAAAUCAUAGAAUUCUGCUGGCUGUGAACUAUACCCAUGUGAGACUUCGGCAGAGGGAGAAGCUAGUACUUCGGUCGGGUUAAAGUGAUUCCUGCCUAAUUUGUCAACGAGGUUAUCCACAGCCACCUCUCUACCCCCAACUUGUGCUGUUUUGUGAUCAACGUUGUCUUCCAUUCUAGGUAUAUCCCAAGGUGAUUUACCAUGCUCCUUGUUAACAUAAAUCUCAGUGGGAUUUAUCCUGAGUGUUUCCAUCCUCCCGUCGAUUUGUCUCAAAUUAUCAUAUGCAGUUGGAGAUUCACGAACCAGGCAUUCUGAAGUUUCAACAGGUGCACCUCCAACAAGAGGUACAUCUUGAUUAAAAGGAUCGUUACCUAAAUUUUCCUGUUUAACCUGGUAAUGAAAUGGUGUUGGAUGUAGUUGAACAACAUCGUCUUGACAAUGCUUAGGAAUACUGACCAUGAAUGCACCAUCUGGUGAUUGCACAUCACCUCCUCUCUGGAUAACGCCCUGUGGAGAUGAAAUCUGAGAGAGGCAAGUCACAUCUGAAUGAGAUGUUACGAGAAGAGGAUCUACUGGAAUUUGAACCCUAGGGCGAGCCUCAACUCCUUGGCCAAAAUUACCUUCUCCCUUGUUCAUCGGCUGAGCUCGCAAAUUCUCCUCCAGCCGAGGACUAUAAUAAGUUGGACUUGAAUCAGAUACCGGGCUUCCGCCAAUGUCUCUCUGAACCUGUACCACAGUAUCAGAAUGUGCAUGAGGCAAUGCUAUCUGACACAUAUAACAGUCCUGGAACUUUGUGGACUUCUCGGGAUACACUUCCUGUUGGUGAGAUACCAAUGCAUCAUGGUAAAUCACAUGCUCUGGUGAUUGAACUUGAUGCCAUCCAUAAGCACCUCCUGCUGUUGUUGAGGGUACUUGAACCUGAUAGGAAUUAUAGCUUUGUUCAGCAGGAAGCUGGACGACCUUGGGAACAAAGGUACUCUCGCCUACAUACUUAUCCAACCGGGUCUGUUGUGGAUGGAUCAAUGGCUGAAGCACACUUGGUCUUAUAUUAACAUGAGAAGUCGAGGGAGUCAUUGUCAUGUGCACUGCAGGAAUGAAGUGAUGCGGGGUGAUGCCAGCAAUACUAUCACCGUAUUGCUGUUUGGUGAAUACAGGACCAGCAGUCCCCAAUAGGUGAGGACUUGGGAAACCCAUCUGAGGAGGAAGCUGGAGAUGGUCUGCCCGUGUAACAAAAUCUUGGCGAGGACCAACAUAAGUUUGCAGAUAAGGAGCAGUAGAUGAAAUGCCAAUUCCAGGUUGCUGCUGUGAUACUGUAACAGGCACAGAUCUUUCUAAUUCACCUUCCGGAUGAGAAGAUGGUGUUUGGGGAGGCCCAGACUUAACCACAGGAAUGACCAAUGGAAUUGUAGAAACUUCAGAAUAAAUUGUAGGCUUAGGAUCCACAAAUACCAGCCUUGUACUAGCAUCAUGAGAAGUAGAUGAAUCCCUUUUCGGUGAUAACUUGCCCGGUGAUGGAAGUCCAGUAUUGUCCCCCUGACCAGGAACUGAGUUAUCAACAACAUCAGUUCCACUAAAAUCAGAAUUUUGAGUUGAAGUUGCACUUGCAUUGCUCUCCUUCCUCACGAUACCAACACUCACCCCAUCCAUAAUCCCAUUGACAGCAUCAACAUAUCUCUGCUCACUAUUAUGUAAAUCCCCAAUUUGUACGACACCAGAUGGAUCAACUUCAGAAGCAGAAAACAAAAAUACCCUCAACUUUGCUGAACCAUCUGGAGAUCUCUCGACCAACUUCCCAUAUUCAUCCUUCAUAUUGUCAAGAUCAUCAGCACAUGAAACCGACACCAGUGCAUCGAGAUCCUCAUCGGGGAGCUGGUAUUUAAUGACCACAGGUUGCCCAUAUGUAUCCACCAUCUUCUGCACUAGCUCAUUGAAGCUCACAUCUCUCCGAACACUAAUCCUUGUCUGCCCUCCAACAUACCUCAACAUUCCAUCACUUGGUCUGGGCAAAAUCUUUCCGCCAAAGCUGCACAGAAGCUUUAUUUUCUUCCCAUACACAGAAUCUUCCCCACCGUCAUCACUUGCUUGUUCAGUCCCACUCCCACGACUGCCCAAAUUGGCAUUGUAACCAUAUCCCGAUGUCAAAUCAUUCCCAGUCUGAUCAGCAACAUUGCCACUGACCUUAUUGCCUAAAUUGGGAUUAUAACCGAACCCAGCUGCCAUAUCAUUAACUCCAUGAUCUAGACCACUGCCAGCACUCCUAUUAAACAUAUUCGAACUACAGUCAGAAGGCCUAGAAGCAGUUGUUGUAGUAUCAGAGCUUACAAGAUCAACAUCAUUUCCGCCGACCCGACUGCCCAAAUUAGGACUGUAACCAAUUCCAACACCAACGCCAGGGUUCACACCUGGAUGUCCCACCGGCACAGCAAUGCGGGGGCCAGGGCACCACGGGGGCACCCCCGACACGGCAUUUCCAUACCCUAGGCCAACAUGCCCAGCCUCCGAGGCAACCGGUGCUUGGUAAAAAACAGGUAUUGAAUGAGGGCUAUUAACUUCACGAACUGGGUGGCUGGGGAAAAAUCCAUCGGGGUUUCGAGCAGCUGUAGUAGCCUGCGCAAUGCGGGGUUCUUCGGCCACAGUUCGAGCUACAUUUAACUGUCUCAGUUCUUUGGGAAACGAAUUUUGAUCAAACGCCAUAUCUACAAUUAAUUAAAAAAAAAUUCAAAAUUCAAUCAAGGGUCUGCAAAAUCAAUCCUAAAUAAGAAAACCCACGAUCAAAAUUCGAUAAAGCUAAAAUCUUUUCAUCUAGAUUGCGAUAAGCUAAGGUCUUUUCAUCUGGGAUUUUCAUUUUGUUAAUUCUAAUUUAAGUACUGAAGCUUUUCUAAUCAUCUGCUAUAAACCCUAGCCAGAUUGCACCAAACUAUAACAAAAUUUUACAGCUUUAUAUCCAAAACAGGGGACAAUAAACACAAAUAAUUGAACAAAAACACACACACAGAGAGAGAGAUUAAGUACCAGAUUGAAACGUUGGCGUUUGGAGGAGAGAGAGAGUGUGUGGAAGAGAUAAGAUGGAGGAGAAGAAAAAACACAGAGAGAGAGAGAGUCCGAGUCGGUGGAGUGCAGUUUCCAAACUCCGAAGGAAUCAAAGCUCACAGUGACAAGCGUCCCCUUAGCAGCUCCUUGGCACUUUCUCGCUCUAAAAAUCUGGUCCUUUUAUUGUUCCAUCCAUCGUUGAAUAUUUUCCGUGGUGGGAUUUUAUUUUCUCGGGAAAAUGAUGUGUUUGUGAGGAAAAUGGCAGAGUGGCUGAAGAGAAAAAUUAUGGUUUUUGGUUUGAAGUCUUGGAGAAGAGAGAAGAGAGAAGGUGACGGGGGAAGCCACGUGGAAUGUUUCAUGCAAGAUUAUGAUUUAUCAGUAAAAAAGUGUAGUAUUAUGUGUUGUUGUUGGGAACCUAGGAGUACUUUAUUUUUGAUAGUGACAUAUGCAAAUAAUAUAUAAACAUAUAUAUAUAUAUAUAUAUUUUUUUUUUGAAUUUAAUGGCCUUAUCGAUGAUUCUUUAAUAUGUCGAAAAUAUAAUCUGGUAUAUUAAGUAUUAUGAUACAAAUAAUUAAAUAUUUAAAAAUAUUUUAACUAUUAAUAUAAUGAGACUUGAUAUACCAAAUUAUAUAUUUAGUGGGCUUAAAAAUUUAUCGACAUUGUGGCAAGGUAGGAGAAGACAAAUACAAAACGAAAAUCUUGGACGGUCCUUCAAAUACUACAUUAAAUUAUACUAUGCAUACAACAUAUUAUUUAAUUAAUAAUUUAUGAUAGAAUUGUUGGUAGUAAUUUCGUAUCUACUUAUGGUUACUUAUUUUAACUGCAAUCAUGCCAUUUUAAUCACAACUUAAUUGAAGCCUUAACUUCUUAUUUUUGUUCGUGAUCAAUCUUUAAUUACUUUGAUCGCAUGAUCAUGGUCAAUAUAAAUCAUGAUUGUUUUACUAAUUAGGGUUUCAAUCGUUCAAUUUUAUUUAAUUUUUUGUUAAUACAAAAAGUAAUGAAUAUUAAACACAUGCCAUUAGAAAAUUAAAAAAAGAUAAACAUAAGUUAUGAGUUUAUGUUAUAGCAUUACCACUGUUUUAAAAAUUCUGCCUAGUGCUAUCAAGGUCAUGUCUAGGCUCUGAACGACAAGCGACCACUUUGAUGAUUCAUAGACGAUUGAAAAUUAUGAAAAAACGCCUAGACUUGUUUAAGUAACUAUUCAUACUUAAGAGUAAAUUAUUAAAAGAAAAAAUGUAUGUCUACAUUCGACGAUAGAACUUACUGUAAUUCUUAUGAACUAAAGUAUUUACAGUAAGAAAUAAUUAAGUUAAUGCAUGCCAUAGAUUGUUGUAUACUAUAACUUACCGUAACUUUUUAUUUAUCCCGAAAUUGCUAACUUCUUUCCUGGUCUGAAUAGGGUAACUUCACAAUAAUUGGAUAAUUCUUGGUCCACUAUAUUUUUCUGGAUUCAUAUCGACCGUUUGAAGGACAUUUUCGACUUUCAUCGAAUCGGUGGGUGAUGACACAUCAUCAAAACUGGAAUUGCGAUCCUCUGAAUUUCUGUGUUCGAGAUUAUAUAUUCUGAGAAAUAAAACUAUAAGAAAUUUUAUUUGAACUUAUAUAAUCUCUUUCAAACUUUAAAUAUGAAUUGUCUUUCUUACUCUAUUGCAUAAUUACCGUCAGGUACAAGAUUAAAUGAACAAUAAAACCAAAAUUUAUCAAUAGACCCAUAUAUACCCAAUCAUCAAUCUACUUCUUGGUACCAUCUGGGAAUGUGUCGCGCCUUCAUCGCACUAGCUCGAUGUUACUUAUGAGCUUUUAUAUGCUUAUGUUAUUGUUUAUGGAUUCGAAGCAACCAAGGAUUCUUCAAACUUCAGAACACAUGAAUGAAAUGCUGAUUCAACGGACCAUGUGAAACUUUUGGAUUUUGUACUAAAUAUUGGAGGGAUUGGCUGAUCCAAUUUUGAUCAUUUGCAAAAAAACGCAUACUGAUUGAACAAAAAAUAAAAUAAAAACAUAUGGGAUUUAAAUAUUUAAUUUUUUUUAAUCAUCUAUAUGGGAUUAAGCAAAAUCAACAGAUGAGAUUAAUUAAAACAGAUAUGGGAUUGAGCAAAAUCAGCAAAUAGAAGGAUUACGCAUGAGACAAAUAUGUGGGAGAUAUUGUUGUCUUUAUGCCUUGAAUGAGUUUCAAAACACGAUUUUGGUUUUUUAUUUUUUAUAUGGGUGUAAAGAUAAAUUUAUGUAUCAAAUUGUGUUUGUGAGGGUAAUUUAGAUAGUAAGUUUGGGUUUAAAGAUAUAUUAAUAAUUUAGUUAAAAAUAAUAUGGGUGGAGGGAGUAAGUUGAAUGUAAAAAAAUGUUGUAUGGAUUCAAAUAAAAUUUCUAAAACUAUUCAUUUUAAACUCUUAUUAUCACACUAACUCACUGCACACAAAUAAAGCAUCUGAAUCUCUCAUACUAACAAUCCAAAUCCCUUAAUUCUUGGCUUUCUAACACCAGAGAUUCCGAUAGAUUUUCAAUUCUCAAAACUGGGAGGAUAUGAGAUAUAUUUUCCUUGUUUUUUAUAAUUUUUUAAAGGUAUAAAAAGUUCAACAUCAAAGAGGAAUAAAUCUUAAUUUAUAAGAAAAGGUGUGACAUCCGACAUCGCCCAGGGGAGUUGAUCAUGUACCUUAUAUGUAUAUUCCCAUCUCUACCUAGCACGAGGCCUUUUGGGAGCUCACUGGCUUCGGGUUCCAUCAGAACUCCGAAGUUAAGCAAGUUCGCACGAGAACAAUUCUACGAUGGGUGACCCACUGGGAAGUUGUCAUCUGAGAUCCUAGAAACAAAAACCGUGAGGGCGUAGUUGGAGCCAAAAGCGGAUAAUAUCGUGCUACGAUGUGGAACGGGUCUGGGAUGUGGUGGACCUCGGGCCGGGAUGUGACAAAAGGAAAGAGAAAAUAAUAUGGAAACUAACAUCAGCUAGUCUUUUACUUGUUUGGAUGAGGUUGGCCCAAAUUCUUUGCUUGAUAUUAAAACAAAAAGUAAAUUAAACUUCCAUACGCGGUUUCAUUAUUCUUUUUAAGAUUGACUAAAAUUCAAGAAAGAAACAUAUAUUUUGGGUAAAGAAUGAAUGUUAAAAAAGUUAAGCAUUUUGAGUUACGACUUUGUGUCUCACAAAUCACAAACAUGUUCACCAUUGAGUGUUAUGUGGUUUGAUUGGAAGGAAGGCAAUUUCUAUGAAAUUGAAGAAACUUGCACCAAACAGGUUUCGAGAAUUAAUCCUAAUUUUAACACGCAGAGAACUAACCUUAUUUCAAUAGAUAAGGAAUCCAAGUUCUUCUGCUAAACUUUAAGGCAUAAAAUACUAAAUAUAACCUUACAUAUUAAAAAAAAAACCAAAUUAACUUUUCCAAAAACAUGAGCACGAUGUAGCAAUAUUCCAAACCUAUCAAGCGGCAGUAUGUGUUGGUAACUUUUCGCGUAAAGUAGCUUUAUUAUUCUGGACCUUGACAUUUUUCAUCUAAGUAUUUACCACCGAAAGGCUCAGCACCAAAUUAACGAUAUUAGUCAAACAAAUUCGUGUCGGUAUUAUAAAAGUACACUAACUAACCAAUCGAUAUUACAUCAUGCUUAUGUGAUUCUGGUAUCUAUGGCGCACUGAAAGUCAGGUAAAAGAAAGAGAUCUGUAUAGUACUUGGCUCGAUCGUCUUUAGCAAGUAGAUAAUCCUACCCCUGUUAAGUUGUCGUUCCUCCAAUAAGCAACAAGGACGUGAAACCCUACAUUUUUUACUAUAUGUAUCCUUCCAUGUUUGAAACACCCUAAUCAUUUUGCUAUAGAUAAUAGAGGUGUGACAACGAUAAGCAUCCCAGUACGUAGUGAAGAAAAUGAGUUUCAGAAUCUGUCGUGUUUGCAUGGGCUAAUUGGUCCUGGUCGGCCAUGCUUUGUCGGUUUUAUGCAGAUUGAUUCUUGUCAUUCAUGUUUAUAAAGACGGAUAAUUGAACACGACUAACUCUAACAAUUCUCGAGAAAAUAAUUGAUUAAUUGUGGGAUUGUGUGAGAUGGAAAGUAGACCUCAACUUGCAUUGUUUUAUUUAUAACAUGUGCCCGCGCGCGCGCAAUAUGCCCUAUUGGCUGCAGCGUAGAGAUAAAUUUAUAGUCCCAAACAGUUAGGACAGUAGUAGGCCAAUAGAGGAUAAAGAAGUGGUGAAUAAACAACUGGCACCACAUGGAUGGAGACAGUAUAGUUCCCUUGUGGGAGAAAUCAGAACAUAAUUAGCAAACUAAUCGGUAGUGUAAACAGUAAUUCAGCUAGCAUAGAUUUCUCCUGAUCUGUACAUUUGACCAAUCCUAGGCUCCUAGCUAUCUAGUAAAUCUCAUGUUGAUGAAUCCGAUGAUGUUCAAUAUUACAACAAACGUAGAAGAAGGAUCAACAAAGUGCAAGUGCAUUUAAUUAACUAAUUGCUAUUUAUAUGUUUAAUGAGAAAUGUUAAGGAGACUCUCAAAAGUAAAACUAUUUGUUAACUCUAUGUCAUCUCAUGUUUUUGAUACAAUGUUUUAUAAUAUUGACACGGAAAUUGACGUUAAUUAAAUUGUCAACUGUGAGAUGACAGAGAUUUCAUCAAGAAUUAAUCUCACUUUGAGAGAAAAUCUCCUGAGCAUUUUUCAUGUUUAAUUACUAGGUUAGGAAUAUUUAGGAAGGUCAUGAUCUAAUGAACAGUUGAAUAUCAGAGUGCGGAACAAACAAGAAGAACAAAAUAAUAAGAAUUUUAUUAAACUAACUGAAUGCCGAAACGGCUACAAAAACCCUAACAAGCUACAUUGUGAAUAACUUAUUUCGAAUGAAUAACAAAUCACUCUAUUUAUAAUAAACUAACCAUAAACCCUAAUGCUAACGGGCUAAGCCCAGAAAACAAAAUAUUAAAGUAAACCUAAAUACUAAUAUUCUACAACACCCCCCGUCAAACUCAUGGCGGUAUACGACAUGGGUUUGCAAACAAGCAGAUGCGGACUGGCUCUGUUAGGCGGACAGACAGACAGGCAGGCUCUGCCGCAACGCGGACAGACAGACAGGCAGGCUCCGCAACGCGGACAGACAGACAGGCAGGCUCCGCAGCAACGCGGACAAACAGACAGGCAGGCUCCGCAACGCGGACAGACAGACAGGCAGGCUCCGCAACACGGACAGACAGACAGGCAGGCUCCGCAACACGGACAGACAGACAGGCAGGUAUGCAAACUUGACUUGACUUGACUUGCGAACUGGUGAACUUGCGAACUUGACUUGACUUGAUUCUUGACUUGACUUGACUGGCAAACUGGCUAGAGUUGAGAGUAUGGAAAGAACCCGUCACUAAACGGACGAGGUUUCCAUAUCUCAAUUAUACCAACAAACAACGAAAACAAUUCCAAACAAGGCAACCAACAAUUCUUGCGGGCCUAAAACAAACUUAAACCAUAUUUUUGACUUUUGCCCGUGUGGGCCUAAAAAAAAAACUCCAAACAAUUUUUUUCUCUUCUCUUUUUUUUUUUUUUUUUUUCCUCUCCUUUUUUUCUCUCUUCUUCUUUUUUCUUUCCUUUUUCUCUUUUCUGCUGGGCUUCUUCAGAACUGCAGCAACAUGUUUCUUGGUCUUGUGCGGCGGUGAGUUCAUAAGGCAGUGCAACAAGGAUGUGAUGAGCAGCGGCAACCUGGGUGGAUGGUGAUUGGGUGCGCGGGACGACGGCAAGGGAUCUGGGUGCAGGUGCAAGCAGGUUGUUCCGGUGGCAGCGUGGUGGUGAUCUGAUGAAGAAACGAUGGCUGGCAGGUACGGUUCAGGCAGAUGCGAGUGCAGGCUGGUGGUCUGGUGCGAGAUGGUGGUGCGGUGGUUUAAGCAGGCGAGGUGCAGGGUUCAUGUCACAGGGAACUGGACGCAGUGGAAGGUUCAGGUUUUUUGUUUUCUUAUGCAAACUAAACCAACAACAAAAAACUAGCAUACAAACUGACAAAUAACAUACCAACCCGACCAAGCAGAUUAAAUCCCAAAGGAUUGAACCUGCUCUGAUACCAAGUUGAAUAUCAGAGUGCGGAACAAACAAGAAGAACAAAAUAAUAAGAAUUUUAUUAAACUAACUGAAUGCCGAAACGGCUACAAAAACCCUAACAAGCUACAUUGUGAAUAACUUAUUUCGAAUGAAUAACAAAGCACUCUAUUUAUAAUAAAUUAACCAUAAACCCUAAUGCUAACGGGCUAAGCCCAGAAAACCAAAUAUUAAAGUAAACCUAAAUACUAAUAUUUUCCAACAUGAACUGCCACAUAUUUGGCCGGGACAAAAUCGAAGUAGCUAGCUCUUUCGUUGUUUGACAUCAUCUACCUCAGGGUGCUUGCUUCUUGUUUUGCAGCAGCAGGAAUUGCUUAAUUAUUCGCUGUCAAAGUAUCACGAGUUCUUGCAGAUGUGAGAGAGUAGCAACAUUAACAAGAACGGAUGUGCUCUCCUAUGUUGUUAUGCACUUAAGUUAAAUAUAUUUUUCCUCACAAUUAAUAAAAUAUCAGUCGUAUAAAACCAUUGCUUUAUUUCUUUACAAGGUUUUUAACCAUCCUGGAAAGGCCACCUUUUUUUUUUUUUUAUAAUUAUUAUUUAUUUUAAAUACAAGACAAUUUAGAGUAUGGGCAUUAGCCAUUUAACAUUUUUAGACCCGCCAUAUGCCAUUUAAUAAUUUAGAGUAUGGGAAUUAGCCAUUUAAACUACUCAUGUGCCCCCUCUCCUUCAUUGGAUUGUAGUAUGGGCAUCGUCAUCUUCAUUCACUACUUACGCCCCCUCGUAGUAUGGUCGUCUUCUUCAUUUACUAUUUGCCGUAUCAAAUCUGGGCCUGGGUCGACUACGUACGCGUGCAUGCAUGCAUGCAUUAAUGCGUGAAAAUUGAGCAAUAGAGAAGCUACGCGCGAAUUGCAAUUGUAAUGAACUACACAUGCUGGGAACUUCUGCAAAUCGAAUUGAUGGGGUGAAAUUAAUCAUGCAAACUCAUUCAGAUUCUAUUAAAUUUCUUUAUUAUUUGAAAUUUUCUGAUGAUCCAGUGAUAUAUAAUUAAGUUAUUCCCAAUAUAUAUAUACUUUACAGCAAGCAUUCAUUCCCAAAUUUCCCAGCCAAAAUAUACUUCAGAUUUAACCUAAUUCAGAACUAAUCGUUCGCAAAAGAAAAAAGUUUGCAGAAAAAUAAAUUGAAGGUAAAAAAAACAUAGCAACAUUAGUAACCGUGCCAAUAUAUACACCCCCAUGAAAAUUAAUUAACAAACCAUAUUUACGUUUAUGUGUAUUAUGAAACCCAAUGAUUAAUUAAUUAUUAAGAACGGAUUAAUUGCUGAGGUCUUGCCUUUGGAUCAUACGCUAGCUGUAGGCAGUUAUCUCCUUGGACGCAGGGGGAGAAGCCACAGAGUCCUGCGAUGUUCGAGGCGGCGAAUGCGGUAAUCGGGAGGAGAAUCCCAAGAGCGGGUCAUCCUCGAGGUUGGACUCCUCGUGAUCAAAGUUGAGGGCGUAGCUGAGUGCGUCAUAUUUGAAAUCGGCUGAAUGAUGCCUCCGGCCCGCGCGGCCAUGGCCAUUGCCACGUCCAUGCAUGCGCCCAAUCCAAUUUCUGCACUUGUCUUUCAAUUCUGCAAACUCGUAAUGAUUGUUGUGGUGGUGGUGGUUGUAAUGGUGUUGGGGGUGGUGAUGAUGCCUAGACCGCGAGGACCGGGGAUUAGGGGAGAAUGAGGAGGUUUGCACGAGGCUGACAUUAUCAGCCUCAUGCGGAGUGGGAGGCGCCGUGAGGGCGCCGUGGUGGUGAGCUUUAGGAGUAGGGAAGCAUGGGAUGAUGCAGAGGGAGGAGCGGAGCUUUUGUUUGAGGGAGUUUGGGGAGCAGGGUUCGUGGUGGUUCUCCAUUAUUUUGAUUUGUGUGGAGAGGUUAGGGGUGGUGGUGGUGGUAUUUGUGUUUUUAUUUGGGAGGAGGAGGAGGCCCCGUGGAGAAGGUGCAAUGACGGAUGAGGACACGUAGAUUUCCGGAAUUCAUGGGAUGCUUUUGGGGUUUCUGGUCAUUUGACGUUGUUCAGAGAUUAUCGCUUUUUAGGGUCUUUUUUAUUUUAUAUUUUUUUCCUUUCGAUAAAUCUGAAAACCAUGUUGGGCCAGAAUUUGAAGGUUAAUAUUGUCGUCCAUUUGCAUGACUUAUGGGCUGGGCUCGAAUACAAAAUUGGAAUGUGAGCUUGAACAUAGCAUAGAUUUUAUGGUGUGAUUAGUUUUUCUUGUUGCCCAAUUAAGAAAACUACGUGCUUAUGAGAUGAGAUUUGGUGCCGAUGUGGUUAAGCGAGUUGAUUUUUUUUUUUUUGGUCAAACGAUAAGUUUUGUUAGAUUAGUCAUUGAUGGGGUUCGAACACACGCUAUCAUGUAAGGGCUCAACACAUUUUCAUCAUUGUGGUAAAGAGCCACUUGUGUUAAGCGAGUUGAUUAGGACUGUGUUUUUUUUUGUACAUGAGUUCGAAUUUUCAUUAUUAUAAGUUAAGAUUAGUUUAGAAUAUCACAUUGUUGGACAAAAACAAAGGAAGAUUUGAGUAAUCCAUUUGAAUUUUUGUUUAUUAAUUUUCUUUAAUUUAUUCGAUCUAAGAGCUGAAGAUUAAGAAAAGUAUAUGAAAGAUAAAAAUAAGUGUCUUUUAAUAUUAGUUUGUAUGAUCCUUAGAACCCAUGGUGUGUUCUUCCUCACAUGAUAAGAUCUUUGUCCAUAUCCUUUGUGUAGUAAAAUAUUGUAGAAGUGGGGUUGGGGUUGAUACGUUUGUAUUGUUUAUUGAGAGAAAAUAUACUCACUCCUGACAUUUGUGAUUCUCUACACCUUGUCUUGUUUUUAACUUUGAAAAAGAUUCACUUCUAUUCAAUUUUGAUAUUAUUUAUUGAUAAAUUUGAUCAUUUAUGAUAUAAUUUCUUUAAAUAGUCGAUUUUAUAUGUGGGGUAAGACGCCAUUUGUGUGUACAAUCAAAUUGACUUUCAGGUUAUAAGGACAAAGACGUCUCAUUAUCACAAUGAAUGAGACCACGUGGAUUGGAGAUUGGACUUACGUGCGACCCGAUAAUACCCUCAUAUAAUGCAGCCCGUUCAUUUGUGAGAGUGUCUGACCAUCUAGCUGGUCAGACUGCUCUACUCACAAUUCUGAAAUAAAAUUUAAUAGUUAAAACACCUGUUUCAUUGAAGCCAAACUUUUCCCCCUCUUAAUUCUACUUGAUUCAUUGAAAUAGUGCAAAAAAGAAUGUGCAAAUUCACUACCCUUUUUACCUAAACACAAAAACAGAAGAAAUGAAGUACUCAACAAAACCAUUCACUGCAGCCGAGAAAAGACAUUUUAUUUACUAGAAAGCCCAAUGAAACAUUACAAGAAGAGAUUUGGUUGAUCACGUGGCUCACCCUUGUCCCUUAAUAAGUGCCAGGUUUUCAGUUCAUAGCAACACGCAGCACCACUGUCUCAUUCGACACACACCUCGUGGACUUGUUGGAAGCUUUCGGUUAAGUUGCACUGAAACUCCCUCAACCUUUCCAUCCCAUGUCUCUCACCUUUUCUUUGUUUUGUUUUGUCUCCUCAUCUUUUACUUUUCUUUUGCUCAUUUUCGUUGAAGAAUAUAGCCCCACAUCGAAAACCUGACUGCAGUAAACACUAUUUAUUUUUGUUUUACCAGUAGUAGUAGUAGGCCGUUGAACCGUCUCUGAAACUUUAACGGUUUUCACUGGUACAUAAUUGAGAGGAGAGAGAUGAAGAUGAUUGAUGCAGAUCGUAUAUACAACCAUCAAUGGUAUGGACCCCUCUUUUGUCUGCCACCAUAUUUUGUUUCCAUCUUAUUGUUUAACUUCCCUCUUCUUCUUCUUCUUCAUUUCUUUGGAAAAUAUUUCAGGACCAAGCAGCUUUUCAUGGUGGAAAAACUGUAUCAUUUAUAAGAGAAAUAUAUACAUAUAUAUAUAUAUAUAGAGAGAGAGAGAGAGAGAGAGAGAGAGAGAGAGAGAGCUACACUUGUUUUCUUUGUCGGUUUUGAGUUGUUAUUUGGAGGUUGAAAUUAAUGGCUGGAAUGCUUCCUGGUGUGGAAUGCGCUCGGAGGAGACGAGUCCAUCAGAGCGGAGAGUCACCGUGCGUCGGCGGCAUCCAUGGCAGCACCAGGCGCUCUUCUUUCUGUUUGUAUGCUAGCAACCAUGAAUCUCACCACACCUCCACCUCUUCACUGGUAAUUCUAUCGCUCUCUGUGUUUUUCGCUCUCUCAUUUUCUUGGAAGCAUCCGAUUUUUCUUACCCUCGAAAAUGAAUGAAUCAAACAAGAAUCAAUCGAGGAAAAGAAGAAGAGAGCGCAGAAGGAGAAACGAGAAACUGGAGUGUGAAAAUCGCUGUCCUACCGAUUUAAAUUACAAGCAAAUAUAAUUUUCUCCUGUUGUAUAUGGAUUAUUUUUCAUGAUCAUUGUUUCAAUUUGCAUGUUUGAAUCAUUAAUAACAGUAUUAAUUUAUUGGACACAAUAGCAAAGAAGCAUACUGAACCAAGCAUACAUGGAUGAGAAGCUGGGAGUGGAAGCCAGAGAAGCCAAGGGGAGAUUAGAUGAAAGACUGAGAACACAAAGAAAACCACAACCCAAAAGGUAAUUAAUUUACCAAUAUGUGGUCCGGCUAUGAAACAAAUUGUUGCUGACACAUCAAUAAUGCCUCGAUAUCCAUGUUAUUGAUGCGUUCUUGACAAUAUCAAUGAAACAGUUGUUCCUUCAUGCACAUAAAAUUUCUUAACAAUAAUGGUUCUUGCACUAACAUACGCGACGGGAAUAAAUUUCCUCUCAUUCUUUUCUCCUUCUGCAAUACCUGUUUAUUUUUGUCUCUCGAUUUUCGAUAUGUUUUAACUAUGUGUUUUAUUAUAUUUGUGAUAAAUUUAGGCAUACUAAUGGUGGUAACAAGGGACUGAAAUGUGUGGAUGGAGGAGGAAGAUCAUCUGUCUUGCUUGGGGAGUUGCAGAAAGAAGUUUACGGAGCAAACAAGAGUAGUAGUAGUACAAGUGGGUCAAAGAAGUUCAGCUGGUCAAAGCUGACCUGGAAGUCAUCGGACCAGGAUGAGUGUGCAGUCUGCCUGGAGAGGCUCAGGCCAGGUGAGACCCUGGUGCACCUGCCCUGUGCCCAUAGGUUCCACUCUGGUUGCAUGGUUCCAUGGCUUCACAACAAUGCCCAUUGCCCCUGUUGCAGAAUGGAGAUUAUCUCCUAGUAAUUGUAUUGGUAAUUUGGUAAAUGCAAAUUGUAAAAUAUAGAUUGAGCUUGCAGUUGCAGUUGUAGAGUUGGUUUGAAGUUUGAACAAUUAACUUUGUGGUGCUAAUUGUUUGGUUACAAUAUGUUUUUGUUAAAGUGAAUAGUUGCCAAGUAGUCUUUGUGUGAGUAGAUAGUUUAUGCAAAUUUGUGGGAGAUUAUAAUUCCACACAUUAAUCUUGAUGUAGGACAAGAUAUGGGUCAAUUCCGACGAAAAAAUAUCAAGAAAAUAAAAUGUUUUAGAGUUUGGAAAGAAGAAUUAAAGUUGGGCUAUAUCAGAUUUAAUUAACAUCGCGACAGAAAAAGUAACAAGAAAUAUUAUCGUGCUAGAAUUGAGAGUAAUAUGUCCUUUUUGAAGAGAAUGCAAGAAGAACAAGACUCAUGGUUAUAAUAUGAGCCCGUCAUGUUUACGGCCAUUCGAGGUUGUUUAAACUCCCAAAACAACAUUUUUAAAGUCUAAUAAAACAACCUUUCAUGUCGUUUAAUUUACUAAGACCCUGAGCUUCCCGAGGGGUUGUGUUUGUGUCUUUUUAAGUCGUUUGGCUCCUAAUGUAAUGUAUCAAUUCAAAAAAUAAUCAAACAACCUUUCGAUUUUAUCCAUCUAUGAUGGAUUCCAAAAACCUUGGUUCUUCAAGAUUUACGUUUGUAAUCCUUAUAUGCUCGUGUUGCGUCAAAUCUCUUCCACAUCUUUCGGGAAAAUGCUUGACUAGUUAUAUGUAGCGUUUCUCAUAACAAACAAAUCUCAAUCUGACUUUUAUAAACGAACUUUUUCAGUUUUUAUUUUUGCAAGUCACUUUAGUAUAUGUGAUAGUCUACAUAAGGAAUAACUCUUUAAUUAUUGUAAAGAGUUAAACAUUAUUCCAAAAUUCUCAAUGAUUUCCAAAUUAUUGAACCAACAUGUGAUCUCCAAUACAAAAUUUUAAGAGGUGCAAUCCCUUUUGUGAAUGAAUGUAAUUGCACUACAUAUCACUAUCCAUCCAUCCAACCUCCCCACCUUGAAAUUGAAUAUCAGAUGAGAGAAAAGGCUCCACUCAUGUGACGGGUGGGACAAGAACAGGUGAAUUAUAGGACAGUCUUUGCUGUCUUGGUCGACCUUUCUCUUGUUUAGUGGAAAUCAUUUGUUCUUGCACUAAUCAAAUGUUAAUACCAAUCUUCGCUUCCAAUUAAGGGAGAUCAUGGUGAGAUCAUAACAACUUAAGUCGCGAAAAAGAUGGGCAGUAGUGGAUCCAUGAGUUUUUCGUUAAUAAGUGAGGUCAUAAAAGUUUGGUGCGGUGUUCUUACUUAAGUAUUUUUUUGGUGGGUUUUUUUGGUGCGGUGUCGCUUGAGCCUUCAGAGACUGAGGAACGAGGAUGGAAAUUGAGUGACGUGAGUGAAUUUGGGUGAAAUAGAGGAUAAGGGAAGCGUACUGAAUGGGACACAAACGCAAACCUAAGAAUAGAAAAGCUAGAAUUCACUAGAGAUUGGGAUAAACCCGAAAGAUUUUUUGUUCAUUUAUGAAUCAAUACAUUACACUGGGAGCCAAAUGGCUUAAAUAGACUUAAUUUGACUUUGGGAAGUUCGUAUCAAACCUUGUGAAGUUCAUAGAAAGUCUAAUGAAAUACAAAAAUAUUGAUUAGAUUGAAAAAUGAAAAGUCUGAUUUUAUUACCAACUUUAAAAUGCUGUUUUGGAAGCUGAAACGACAUCAGAUGGUUAAAAUCUGUUAAGGAAUUUUCAAACCUUGUGAAGUUCAUAUCUUGUCCUACAUCAAGGUUUUGGAUAAAAAUAAGAUUUGCAGCCUUGCUUCAUCCUGUUUUGUUUAGCUGUUGAGUUGGCAAAAUCCGAGUCAUUUUCAUUAAACAAGUUUGCCAUAAAAAUGGAGUAACAAGUUAAGACUAAACCAGAUAAAAGAUUCGGUUCUCUCAAACAAGACCGAAAAAAUAUCAAUAAAAUAUAUUCUAUGCUUUGAAGGUGGAAUGUCAUUUUCUCCUAUAAAAAUGAAGCAUGCUAACUUGGAUUUUAUCCUAAUUUGGGUAAAAUCUUCUUCUUUUCCUACCCUAAUCCUUGUUUUUGUGUCACGACUGGCUAGCUGGAGGUCACUAAAGAAUGGACCCAAUUUAGCUAAUUUAUCUUUGUCUUGAUUAUAUAGAUGGAUAAAUGAUUAGGCAAGGAUUGAUAAACUUUGAUUAAUUAUUCGUUGAUUGAUUGGAGUGACGCAAGAGUCCAAAACUUUUCAAAGUUUUCAAUGUGAUGUGUGACUAAGACAUAACUCGGAAAGGAUGAGCGGCACGAAUAAGGUUUCUUUAUGUCCAAUCAAGACAAUGUCGCGAUCGAAAUUGAGCCGAAAUUACAAGCAGUAUAAAUUUUGAAAAUUAUACAAGUUUUACAGUGUAGGGUUACUAUGUGAAGAAAAAAAAACCACGCUUUUAUAAAACUUUAUUUUUCAGCCCACUCCAGUUUACUGUUUUGUAUUCCUUCAAGUUUUAGUACAUAUUUCCUGGUGCGACAAGAGUUUGUGGCGGUUUUGACGAUCUUGACACAAUGUGGGAAUUCAUAUUUUUUUAUUUUAUAUAUAUCCAUCUUGUGUGGGAUGAGAAUUUAGUCUUACUUCUUGACCAUUUAUCUAUGCUCUGACACUCUCGUAUGUAUAAAUAGGUUCAUAAAAGAAAAUCAAUAAAAAAUAAAAAUAAAAAUAAAAACUUUUGCCAAGGGGAAGGCAGCGAACGACGCCGUUCGGUGGACCAAUUAUUUUCAUUAUUUUGGCACCUUUGCGAAUUUUACCAUUUUAGACUCUUCCCGCAACGGCUAGUUUCCUAGUGACCGUUUUCCCGUCUCCCAAAUUUCAAAUCUGCAAUCGACCUUCAACCCACCAUUAAUCUUCUUCACAUACCGCAACUCCCAGAAAUCUCCUUUCACUUUUCGAAAAACACCCGCAAAACCAAAUCCAAAUCCAAGGCUCUGGCAACUUGUCGAAUUCGAUCUCCGUUAAACCCACUUGGCAAUUCAAAUCAAGGACCCAGAAUUUCAAAAAUGGUAUAUUCAUACGCGCCCGCGUACUACUCCACAAUCCACGACUCCAUGACCUCCCUGUGCAAGUCCAUUCUUCCCUUCAGCUUCAAGAAGCGGCGGUUGCCUGCGGCGGAGCAGAGGCUUUCGAAGCUGCAGUCGGAUAACCUCAAGUGGCAGCAGGACUCUUUCCACCAGAUUCUGAACUUGAUGGGUCUUCACAAAGAAGGCAUCUUGGCUGAGACCGAGGUGUCCGCUUUCCGAUUGCAUUUGCUCGAAACCCUCAUUGCCUCUCAGGUGGCGGAGCACGAACAGCCGGUUAUUCUGAGAGACAAGUUGCUGUUCUUGCAGGUAAAAUGCCAGUCUGCAAUCUCAACUCUUUCCUUUUUUUUUUCAUUUCGAUUGGAUUUUCUUUCUUGGUUUUCUGAGUAACCAAGCAAUGUUUAGGAGCUCUUGUAUGCGAAAUGCAUAUCGGAAGACGAGUACCAUUCUUCGAAAAGGCCGUUGCUGCAGCGAUUAGAGGCACAGGGAGCUGAGAUCGAGGCCAAAGAUAUAAUCGCUUCAGGGUCGCUGCCAGCGAAGGAUCCGAAAGAGAAUACAGAUCAAGAGCAGUGGUCGGAAAUUGACUUGAAGGAUGAGAAAUGCUUGCUAACGAAAGAUAAAGAGGGUUUGAAUUCGAAGAACAAAUCGAAACACAGCUCGGCAGUGAAACAAAUCAAAGGGGCAGCUUCGGUGUUGGGAUUUGUAUCACCUUACAAACAUGGGAAAAACAGGGGAGAAAAGAGCAUAUUCGAUUUGCCUGAUUCGUCAAAAUUCUCUUCUUCCAGCUCUUCUAAGCAUCAAGCAGGAGAUCAAUCGUCGAUUCUUAUGCCGGAAAGCUUGCCACAGGUGCCGGUGAAAGAGAACGGCAGCGCAGAUCGAACAAGGAGGAAACCGUUUAGGAGUCUGUUUCAGAGAGAACAGAAAGAGGGUCAGGGGGAUCAUGCCCACGAAAAUGAACAAACACCUUCGAAAUCGGCCAAAAAGCAAUGGGGUUUUGAUGGAUUCAAGAAAUGGAAGAGGAAUGAGUCGGAGGACGAGACAACUCCGCUGCCGCUAAACGAACGAUCGGAUAGUGAGGCUCACUUGAAGCUUGUUCCAAUCCCCAUGGGUGAAGGGCCAGACACUAAGCUCAUAAAAAGGAGGCUGCUUUCGGAUGGUUCUCCUUCCGAUUUCUUCAUUGACAAGGUUCAAAACCGUAUGAUUUAAUUUCGUAAUUUGCUGGCUUAUAUUUGAAGCAUGAUCCGAAAUUGAAGGUUGUUUUUUUUCUUAUUUUUGUAUGAUCUGAAGGUUUUAGGGGAGAAGAUAAAGAAGGAGCUGUCAAGAAUUCAGUCAGAGCUUUGCGCUUCAAAUCCAAAUCUUCGAUUUACGUAAGCCUUUUGAUGAGUCUUUCUUACAUAUACAUUGGUAUCGAAAAGCAAUCUUUUUGUAUCGAAAACAUACGAGUUUGAUUCUUGUGAUUUGCUCAGGAAUGAACAAAUUGAAGCUAUUUCGACCAGGCUUCCGGUGGACAAGGCUGAUCUGAAGAAGUUCUUUCCCAAGUGAGCAAAUCUUCUCUAACUAAAACCACCGCCCCCUUGUACUUUCUCUCUUAUUUUUCAUUGGAUUUUUGUUUCGUUUUCAGGUCGUGGUGCGAUCGGUAUGGAGAAGUUGUUCUGGACGUGGUGAGGAAAGAGUUCAAGGAGCAUGUUGGGGAGAUGGAGAGCUUGAGAAAUGCGGCAAGAGAGAAACACGGUAUCCACUCAGCGCGAUGGACUGCAUUCCAAGAUGACGAGGAGAAUUGUCACCCGAAUCUCUUUGCUCCGCCGCGAGACAACAACCACAAUUAUACUUCAAAGUUCCAUGAAACCAAUCCGUUCUGUGAUGAUCACAUUCACACCACCCCUAGGAAGCUGAGAUCGAAACCGGCAACUUAUACACAAGAGCAGAACCAGAACCAGAAUCCCUUUUGGAUCCCGGGCACGGCUACUAAUGCGUUUUCGUUGAGUAGCUGCUUAAUAUGUAUUUUGAUUGAGAGAUCGCUUGAUAUGUUGUAUGAACUUUGAGAGAAGAACGCUGUUCUUCCAAGCAUUCAAACUUUAUGUUUGAUUUGUAAAUGUAGGCAAUGUAUUAUCUCCUUCAAUGUUUCGGAACUCGAUUCGCUCCUUGAUUUUUAUUUUCUUAGUUCUUCUCACUCACUAUUUGAAAUCCUCUAAAGGGCCUUCAUGCAAAUAUCCAACACGCGUGUAAUACAAGAAACAAAUCAAUCGAAACAUACGACAUGAUCAUCAGGAGUUGGGGUUACUUGCGAUGCAGGUAAAGUGGUCGAAUUGGAUUGGAAAUCAAGUUAAAAAUCGCAAAUUCGGCAGCAAGAGGAAUUUUUUGCAGACACCUGAACCCCGAGUCGUCCUAACCAGAGACUAUACCUUGACAACAAAACUAGCAAGAUUUAUUCAAGACAUUCAAGUAAAGGCAAAGGAAUCUGCAAGCUUUUGAGCAAAAUGGAAGGUCCGUUACCAAUAAUUCCAGCAAGAAACCCACUAUGUGAAAAAGAUAAAAGAAAAAGCAGAUAACGCUUCACCCCAGUCGUGAAAAGCAAUCAUGCUUAUACACCUUGGGGCGGAUUAAAAGAACUUUACAACAUUACAAAGAACUUAAAGACAUUAUAGCUAUCCUUGGGUUUCAAUCCCUAAAGAACUUCAAGACGUUAUAGCUAUCCUUGGGUUUCAAUGCUCACUGGUCCCCUCGCUCUUAACAAUUAACAAUCUAACUUACUAACGCUAUCGUUUGUCUAAAAAUAAAAGCCAAAAAUACAUAACCAAAAAACACACUAUAAGAUCCCACAUCGCCCACACAGUGAUCCUUAAAUGUAUAUUCUCAUCCCUAUCUAGCACGAGACAUUUUGGGAGCUCACUAGAUUCGGGUUCCGUAGGAACUCCAAAGUUAAGCGAGAAGGAAGCUAGAGCACUCCCAGGAUGGGUGACUCACUGGGAAGUUGCUCGUGUGUUCCCAGAAGGCGUGGUCGGGACCCAAAGCGGACAAUAUCGUACUACGGUGGUGGAGCGGACCUAGGAAGUGGUCCGCCCCGGGCCGGGAUGUGACAAACACCAAGGUAAAAAGGGAAAAUACUGAAAGAAAAAAAAACGAAAAUCCCAGGGUUUGCUAUGUUUGAAGCCUCUUUGUUGAGAUGAAGAUGCCAAUUCAUGCACAUUGAUAUGUAAGUAUCUCGUUCUUUCAAUCACUAUAAAUCCGCAUCAAGGACGGCAGACGCUACAAUAUCGUGGAUUUCGGAAAAAUUCAGAUACAAGUCAGUCUUGGGGGACCAAAACAUGUCCUGGUAGAUGCGAAGAACCAUCUUUAACUAUAUACAUUACUGUGUAGUAUGUACAAUUAAAUCAAAGAGAAGAUAUCUCCGAGUUAGGGACAGAACAGUCGGUGAAACCCUCACGAACAUCUCCUCGGCAAAGCGGGCAAACUCUGUAAGCAGGAAUGAACAGAGAGAAUUUCGGUGAGAAAAAAUACAUGGGGAAAUGAAGGACAAUCAUGAAGGGGGGAAAAACAGAGGAUGGCAAUGACAAUACCCGUGUAUCUCUUUGAGCCACUUAUCAACGCAUGACAUGUGAUACUCGUGAUGGCAGGGAAGAACUCGAAUUUUGUCUCCUUCCUCAUACUCAGCGAGGCAUAUGUAACACCUAUCAAUUAUUAACUCACCAUGAUCAAACAAAUUCAUUAUGCUCCCUACUGAUGAAAUCAUUUAAGUAAAACUUACUGUUCAACAUCAUCCCCGGACUUUGGUUUGUCAACCUUUGUGUGACUUUUAAGAGGAAAACCAUCAACAAGAGAUGCUGGGGCAGGAGCUGAGACCAUCGACAGUGAAAGUGACACAGGUUGGCGGUGAAUCUCAUCCAAAACCUGCACAUCGCACAUUACAACAAAAUUAGGUUUGAUACAUUCAUAAGGUACACAGUAAUCUGUUGUGUAAUAUCUGCCCCUAAGCUUAACCGUCAAACAUAGAUAAAAACUGCGCAAACCAUAUCACAGCCGUUCAACCUAGAUUGGUAAACAUGCAGCCAAAGCCCUCAAAGAGACCUCAAGAAGAAGAAUAUACUAAAAUCAUCGCUGAUUUAAUUACGUUGCUUAAAUACCCUCCUAACUUAAGACAUAUGCAAGAGUGCAGAAAGAAAAUUACCUCAAAUAGAGCUUCGGCGAGCAUGACAAUUCUUGAUAUACUUGCCCGAGUACUAGACUCUUCAGCCAUCAAGAAUGAGCCACAUGAGCACAUGCCACGAGGGUGGAUUCCUGUGGGACAAGAGGUAUUACGCUGGCCAUUAUCAUCAAGGCCAACACGAAGUCUUUCCCAGACCUACAAAGAGUCAUGCAGAUGCAAAUCAAUGAAAAUUACUAGUGGGACCCCAAAAAAUAAAGCUGCUAUAGUUUACGGAUUUCUCCGGCCCGUAAAACAUCUGGAUAUAACACUUCAUAAAGUAUAAAAGAACCUUUGAUGAAUGAUAUAUUUGUAAACCAUGUAAAUGAACAUACACAUAUACAAAAUACAGUUAAGCCCCCAUACUCUCGCAAAUGAAAAAACUCAAUUUUAAGAUCCAAGUUAAGCCACGUGACUGAAACAUCAUAAUAUUUUUUAAUGUUAAAAUCUAUCACCUCAGAUCUAGAAUGUCGCCGUCGUUCACUCGAGUUGGGAAUUCUAUUAGCCCGGUGACCAGAAUCAACUCCAAUUUCAUCAUCAAAGAAAUCACCACUCAAACCAAGCAGCCAUCUGUCAUGAAAUCCCAUAUCCUCGGUAUCAUCAGUAGAGAAAAGAAUGGUUGGUGAAUCAAUAAACCUCCUGGAGCUGCGCCUUGAAAAUGCAUCCCAGAACAGUCGCCUGCCAUUCCUUCUAGCCUCACGAUUACUUGCAUCAGCAUUGCUACUCCUCAAAAAGUUGGAAGAAAUGCUCAUAACAUCAACAUGAAGUACACUUCCAUCUUCCUGGCCUUGUUCCCUAUUGGACACAAGGAAUCCUAAACCAGAAGGUAUUGCCUCCCGAAGGGAAUCAUUUCCAAGUGAGUCGAAAGUCGACGGAGUUUCAGAAACAUUAGCAGAAUCAGUAUCAGCAUUAAAACCCUGUACACCCCUUACGUCAGCCACAUGAUUCUCAACAGACACUUCCUGAGAACGGGAAUUCCGAAUCCCUUGUGGAGAUGAGCUACUUGGAAGCAUAACCUCGGGACAGGUCUCAGAUACAUUCUUGUCUGCUGAAAUGUCAAUGCCAUUGACUGAAUCCACAUUAGCAGAACCAUUCAAAGAGACUGUUUCUGAAGAUUGUUCUUGUCUAAACGAAGUACUAGCGGUAGUACUAUUAUCCCUACAAGAUUGAUCAUGACUAUAAUCGGCACUUACCUGAUGAGGUAUUAGUUCUUUACUUUUGGACAAGCACUUCCCCCGGUUAAUUGUGUCAACACUGCUUAAUCCUUCUUCAACAGUGCUCUCAGAUGAUGAUCCAAUUUCAAUAAUGGGGCAGGUGAACAGUGGUCCACUACUGGAGACCAACGAGGAUCCUUCUCCAGAGUUCCGGACUUGAUUGAUAUCAAGAUCAGAUUGCUCUGCAUAUUUUACACGACACUCAGGUGCGUGAUCUUCCAUCUGCAGGAAAAGUACUGAAGCAAAUCAGUCUCCUUAUGCAAUCUAUAUGACUAUAACUACCAAGUACAAAAUGAUUCACGAAAUUUGAAGGGUAUUGGUAGAAAAGGUCAAAAAACACUAUCAAGGCAUGAAGCAAAUCAGUCUCCAUAUGCAAGCUAUAUGACCAUAACUACCAGGUACAAAAUGAUUCACGAAAUUUGAAGGGUAUUGGUAGAAAAGGUCAAAAUACACUAUCAAGGCAUGAAGCAAAUCCGUCUCCUUAUGCAAUCUAUAUGACUAUAACUACCAGGUACAAAAUGAUUCACGAAAUUUGAAGGGUAUUGGUAGAAAAGGUCAAAAUACACUAUCAAGGCAUGAAGCAAAUCAGUCUCCUUAUGUAAUCUAUAUGACUAUAACUACCAAGUACAAAAUGAUUCACGAAAUUUGUAGGGUAUUGGUAGAAAAGGUCAAAAUACACUAUCAAGGCAUCAAUACAACUACGUAACACCACAGUUCUUUGGCCACCAAAAAAGGUAUUAAACUUACGUUUCUAUACUGUCCAUCAUAAGAGAUGUGCAUUUACUCCCAAAUGAACACAAGUAACACAAGAAUAAAUAACUUCAGUUAUACGCUAAAUAGACUAAUGCUAGGUAUCUCAACUUCAAACCAACACCAAGCAAAAUUUCUGCUUCAUGACUUCAUGGAAAUAAUAUAUUGAGGUUGUCAUCACAAGUGCAUCGCAAAGCACUAAAUAAAAACAACUGCAAUCAUUUGAUAUCUAAUUACAUGCCUCUACUUCUCCAGAAGAUUCCUAAUACGUUCGUCAUGAGGACUCCCAUGAACAAUAAUAGACUUGCACACAAUUAUAUACUUAUAUUCUAGCAAAAUAUCUUUACUCAUCCAAACUUUUCUAAAUCUUCCCUAUCUCCCGAGAAUGGGGGCAUAUAUACACAGAAACAUUUUUACCAACCACUUCACACUACUACAUCAGCAGCAUGAUUGAUUCCCAGCUCAAGAACAUAAGUUGCGCUAAAGACUACGUGAUCAUUUAUCCGCACCAUUAAGAACCUUGACCUUCAAGUUCUACGAUCGUAAUCAAACUUUCUCCAACCAUUUCCCUGAGCAUCCUACCAACCACUCAUCGGGGAUCAUCAUUAAAGUUCAUAUUCAAAAACACUAAAAAAUCAAACAACAUAGUUCAGACCCCGAAAACAAAGUUAAAUCCUUUUUCCUCAUUCACGAUUGUUAUACUGGACUUGAACAAAUGUAUACAUUAAAACAAACAUAACUCGAACUGUCAAUUCAAUGUCCCCAUUAAUUAAAUCCCCAAACUUUUUUCAACAACACGGUCGCAUAAUUAGCAGUUUUAAAAUAUGAAUACAAUAUUCACAAUUGCAGGGAAAUUAUAACGAAAAUUCAAAGUAACUGAGUCAUUAUGAUAUUACCGAGCACAGGGCCAAUCUUCUGCAUCAGCUGGACAAAUCCCAUAGAUUUUUAUUGGAUUGUAACUUGAAUUGAGGAAAAUCAAACCCCCAAGAAAAUUAAUUUAAUGAAAAAAGCUUAAAAUUCUUCUAAUUUGCACCAAAUGAUCAAAUCCCAAAUCAUCCAAAACCAGUAAAAAUCGAAUUUUGCAUCAAAAAAUGUAAAAAGUAUGAGAAAUCCAAAAAUGGGCAUUGACGAUUGAAUUGAAGGCAUCGAUUUUAGUGGAGGACGAUGAAGAAGAAGAAGAAAAGGGUACCUCGUGAGUAGCACGUGCAGAGGAGCCACCACAGACGAAAGAGGAGAGUAUGGAACGACUGGCGGUGCGAUUGACUCGGGGCCGAGAUGGGCGCGAGCCCAGUCGACUGCUGCUCGAACCCAUUUGAGAGAGAGAGAGAGGAAGGAGAGAGAGAGAGAGAGAGAGAGAGAGAGAGAGCGCUUCAGAGAUGGUGAUGAAUGAUGAUAAUUGAAGCAAACCGGCUGAGAGAGAGAGAGCUUUCCAUUUUUCCUUUUUUAUUUCAAAUUCAAUUUUCAUUGUGAACUAAUGGUUUCUACAGUGGACCAGGCUUGACCGACCCAUCAAAUAUAUGGGUCUGGAUCAUCAAGUUUCGGCCCAAUGUAUUCAGUAAAAAACAAAGCUAAGAGCAACUCCAUAUUUAAAAAAUGAGAUGACUCAAAGUCCAUUUAAUCCACCAAAAUGAAUAGUAAUUGACUUUAAUGAACAAUAAUUGUCCAAGUGCAUCAAUUCCUAAAAAAUGAGCUGGGUAAGAGUUUAGUCAAUUCGUAUUAAAAUAUUAUUAAUUUUUUUUAUAAAAAAUUAAAAAAUAAUUUUAUUUUUAAUUUCGGAUAGAAUUUUUAACCUCUUGUCACGUUACGUGUCAUUUUCCGAAAGUACAAUUUUUGUGAAAGAUGGUUAGGUAUAUAUAUAUAUGUAUAUAAUCUUUUAUUUUUUUCUGUAUUUUUAAACAAAUUUUUAUAAUUUUUUAUUAAGUUAAUUAAUCUGGAUCAUUGGAUUUCAAAAAAUAAAAAAAUCCAAUAGCCUAAAAAUGGACAUGUGACCCAUGGUAAGAUUCUGAUAUUUUUUUUAAUGCUGGAACGCACACCUACGCAAGCGUGUAUCCCACGGGCCAACAGCAAAAAAAAAAAUUCACAUGGCUGACGUCAGCUUGGCCUCAUGUAGGCCGGUCUAUUGCUCAGUCCAUUAUGUGUUGGGCUCAAAGGUGGCCUCCACUUUGGGCCAACCUAUUGGGUGGGGUGAAGUUGGUUUUUUUUUUUUUUGGGGGGGGGGGGGCAGCCUAAAAAUUAGACUUUGAGCUAGCACAUUUGUUAGGGAUGAAAUGCUCUAAUAGAAAAAAUGUUAGGCUUAUCAUAUUUUUAAUAUUUCAUGUGUAUAACAUUUUUAAUAAAUAUGGGAUCUACAGUGUUAUUUGCACACUAAUUUUUAUCUCUCACAUAUUCUUGUUAAUUUUUAUUGACUCAUCUUCUUCAAUUCAUAUUGUCGACCGAAAAUUAAGAGGAGUGCGUGAGAAGAAAAAUGAGUGUGUAGAUAACGCUAUUGUAUAAAAAAUUUGAUAAAUAUAGUAUUUACUCUUAUGAUAGAGAUAGGGUUACGUGUUUGGUAUAUAUACGAGUACAAUGAAGCCAUGACAUUUGUAGUGGUGAUUGGUUACAUUGGUAUACUUGAGAUGUGAGGCAAAUUUAUUACCAUCACAAAGAUAAUUAUGAAACUUAUGGGCCUUCUAUUUUACUAAAAAUUGACCUCCAUCGUCCAUAUAUGAAACUUAAACUUGGAGAAAGAUCGUAUACGUUUUAUGAAAGGUUUUUUUAUCUGACAUGGAAUGAGAUAUGGUUUUCUUAACUAAGAUGUGAAAGACAAAAUUAUUCCCAUCACAAAGAUAAUUAUGGAACAUGGGCCUUAUAUUCUACUAAAAUUUGACAUAUUAACUACAUUUUACUAGAAAGAUGUACAUAAAGUUAUACCCAUUUUGGGAAAGUUAUCUAAUUUGACAGAGAAAAUCGAUAAUUUCAAAUGUGUCAAGACGUGUGAUUAUCUCUGUUUAAUUAUAAAUUGGAGGUAGAGAAAAAUGGCAGCACUUUAAUUGUAGUGUGUUUGAAUAGUUGAUCAAGGUAUCGGCAGAGAAAUAUCGAGUUGAAUUGUAGGUAUUCAACUACCAGCAAGACAACCAUGGAUCCAUGGGUGUGACUAGCAGUUGGUGCAUAUGAUGGACACGUUUUACCACUAACAGACGAAACACCAUGUCUGUAUCUACAUAGCUUUCUAUCCUUUCUCCACGUACUUCUGCACCCCAUUAACAAAAAGGCAAAUUAAAAUAUAUUAUACAAAAGUAGACCUAACUUUAAUGCUUUAUCCACUCCUAUAAAAUCUACAUAAUCGUCGAGUUCCAACACACUUCAGAACAAUAUAUCCACUUAUAGUUGCAGGGAACUAAGAAAAAAAAGAAGAUCGACUGAGAAACAUGCCUGACCAUCCACCACCACCACCGGGCCAUGAUCACGGACCCCCUCAUCCUGAGCCUCCUCCGCCGCACGCCCAUGCUCCUCCUCCUCCUCAGCCGGGCGGUGGACCUCACGCACCUCCCCCUGGCCCUCCUGAACCACACAAGCCACAUCAUGAUCCCCAUCAUGGUCCCCAUCAUGGUCCUGGUCAUCACCACCCAUGAAUCAUCAUUCAUCGUAUGAUGAAUAUAUACAUGCUUGCAUGCAUGUAUGUAGAUGUAUGGUGUACGUUGUGAUGUAAUUUCUAGUUUUAACUAAGUCGGUGAGUCCUCUCAUGAUCAUGCAGUUUUAAUGAAUGAUGACUUCGUGUACCCAAAAAGUAUGCAUGAUUAUGUAAAUUAAUAAGAUCGGUUUGUGGUUUUAAUUUCCUCUUAAUUAAUUAGUUAAUUUGGUACGCACUGAGCUGCUGAUCAAAGUGUGGUUUAAGAUGCAAAAUUUCCAUUCCUUUCAUGUUUUAAUUAAGAUGCAAAUCUAAUUACAAACAAAUACGCUGCAACUAACUAAAAACCCUACGUGCAGCAGGCCAUGGAUAAUUUUUGGUCUUUAAUUCGAUCUUUUACUUUAGAUAAAUGUCUAAUUUAAUUGCUGCAAAAGCUAGCUUCUGAAGUAUGAUCAGUGUUAAGAAACAAAUAAAAUUAAGAUAUAUAUCAUCAUUAUAAUUAAAUUUUCUGAUGUAGGAGAACAAAUGAAAUAUGCGUAUAUUGUCGGUGCGUAAUCCGCACUAAUAAUACAACGUUAAAUAAAAAUAUGUAUGUAUUAUUGUAUUAUACAAAUGUAAUGCCACAGUAAGGUUAUUUCCAACCGAAUGAGGGCCAAAAUGCUAUCUUUAGCUCUAUAGUCUUGCAAGAAAUUAUAUUUUAAUGAAUAGUGCUAUGCUAUAUUUUAUACAUCUCAAACUGAGAGGAUCAAAAGACAAUAGGCCAAACAUAGCCCUUUGAAAAAAACUAUCUCCAACUGAGGGAACCAAAAGAUCAUAGGCCAAACAUAAUUUAUUAUUUUAAUUAAAUUAAACUACUAUAUUUAAAAAAGGUUUUCAGACAUAUUUUGAGUCACUUGUCGUCAAAUGAAUAAGCCUCCGGAUUUCUUAUCUAUAUAUAAUCUCAAUAAUUUUUUUGGAUAGAAUUUCGAGUAACACGUGUAGCUAACAUGAGGAACUCUUCAAAUUUUUUAUCUUUAUGUAAUCGCAAUAAUUUUUCGGAUAGGAUUUCGAAUGACAUUUGUCGCUAAAGUGAGUAACUAUCCAUAUUUCUUAUCUUUAUGUAAUCUUAAUAAUUUUUCGGAUAUGAUUUCGAGUGCCACGUGUCGAGUGUUGUGCUAGGAUAGCACCAAACCUUAUGGAACCAACUCAAGCUAACCCACAUGAAAUAUAUCAAAUGGAAUGCAAGAACAAAAUAUAAAAGAACACCAAGAUUUUAACGAGGUUCCUCAACAGUCAGUGUAGCUGGAGUACGU
rnacentral:lncRNA from 1 species